GGGGGCAUAGCUCAGCUGGGAGAGCAACAGACUGAAGUUUCGAACUCUGAACAAUGGUCUUCUGGAGGUCCCCGGUUCAAUCCCGGGUGCCCCCA